CCUACGGGAGGCUGCAGUCGAGAAUCAUUCACAAUGGGGGAAACCCUGAUGGUGCGACGCCGCGUGGGGGAAUGAAGGUCUUCGGAUUGUAAACCCCUGUCAUGUGGGAGAAAAUUAAAAAGAUAGUACCACAAGAGGAAGAGACGGCUAACUCUGUGCCAGCAGCCGCGGUAAUACAGAGGUCUCAAGCGUUGUUCGGAAUCACUGGGCGUAAAGCGUGCGUAGGCUGUUUAGUAAGUCGGGUGUGAAAGGCGCGGGCUCAACCCGCGGACGGCACAUGAUACUGCUAGACUAGAGUAAUGGAGGGGGAACUGGAAUUCUCGGUGUAGCAGUGAAAUGCGUAGAUAUCGAGAGGAACACUCGUGGCGAAGGCGGGUUCCUAGACAUUAACUGACGCUGAGGCACGAAGGCCAGGGGAGCGAAAGGGAUUAGAUACCCUAGUAGUC
rnacentral:rRNA from 1 species